GUGGGGAAUAUUGGACAAUGGGCGGAAGCCUGAUCCAGCCAUGCCGCGUGUGUGAAGAAGGCCUUUUGGUUGUAAAGCACUUUAAGCGAGGAGGAGGCUCCUUUAGUUAAUACCUAAAGUGAGUGGACGUUACUCGCAGAAUAAGCACCGGCUAACUCUGUGCCAGCAGCCGCGGUAAUACAGAGGGUGCGAGCGUUAAUCGGAUUUACUGGGCGUAAAGCGUGCGUAGGCGGCUUUUUAAGUCGGAUGUGAAAUCCCUGAGCUUAACUUAGGAAUUGCAUUCGAUACUGGAAAGCUAGAGUAUGGGAGAGGAUGGUAGAAUUCCAGGUGUAGCGGUGAAAUGCGUAGAGAUCUGGAGGAAUACCGAUGGCGAAGGCAGCCAUCUGGCCUAAUACUGACGCUGAGGUACGAAAGCAUGGGGAGCAAACAGGAUUAGAUACCCUAGUAGUCC
rnacentral:rRNA from 1 species